CCCAGGUUAGUUGGCUCAAUCCUGGUACUGCCCACUGUCCUCACAAGUCAAGUUCUCAAUCCUCAGGGACGUCAUGUUGGGCACAUGGACUCUCUGCCUGUACUUGUCCUGGAGGCUGGCCCAGGUUGGAGCCUCUCCUGGCCCACUAUGGACUUGCAGCAUAAGAGUGUAGUUUGAUUCAGAGCCAAAGCCCCAUGAGAUCUCCUCUAGCUCGGCUCCUGGCUCCUUGAUCACAUGAAACAACACAGAACCUCCUUGGAUCCUCUUCAGAGGAACGUGAGUUCCAGAAUCCUGAGCUCCAGAACCAUGUGCUCCAGAACUCUUGAACCCAGUGC